rnacentral:rRNA from 1 species
GAGUUUGAUCGUGGCUCAGAGCGAACGCUGGCGGCAGGCCUAACACAUGCAAGUCGAGCGGCCGUAGCAAUACGGCAGCGGCAGACGGGAGAGUAACACGUGGGAACGCGCCCUUCGGUUCGGAAUAACUCAGGGAACUUGAGCUAAUACCGGAUACGCCCUUACGGGAAGAUUUAUUGCCGAAGGAACGGCCCGCGUCCGAUUAGCUAGUUGGUGAGGUAAUGGCUCACCAAGGCGACGAUCGGUAGCUGGUCUGAGAGGAUGACCAGCCUCACUGGGAUUGAGACACGGCCCAGACUCCUACGGGAGGCAGCAGUGGGGAAUAUUGGACAAUGGGCGCAAGCCUGAUCCAGCCAUGCCGCGUGGAUGAUGAAGGCCCUAGGGUUGUAAAGUCCUUUUAACGGGGAAGAUAAUGACGGUACCCGUAGAAUAAGCCCCGGCUAACUUCGUGCCAGCCGCCGCAGUAAG